rnacentral:lncRNA from 10 species
ACGGAGAGCUAGUGUAGCAGGACGAGUUGCAGACAAAACUCCUCAGACACCAGAUUAAAGAAGGAAGAGGUUUUUUUAUUCAGCCAGGAGCGUUGGCAGACUGGUGUCUUAAGAGCCGAGCUCCCGGAAAAAGAAAUUCCUAGCCCUUUUAAGGGCUUACAACUCUAAAGGGUCUACGUGAAAAAGUCAUAAUAGAUCAAGUAAGCCUGAGGAACGUGACUGGGGGCUACAAACAUCAGCUAACAGAACAAAAAGUUUUUACAGUGCUUUCUCAUACAAUGUCUGGGAUUUACAGAUAACACAGGUAGUUUUGGUCAGGGGUUAAUAUUAUUGUUGUUUUAACCACCGGGGCCAGGUGGUGGCGCCAAGGUCGUCUAGCUAUUUAUUUUACUUCUGUUUUUUCCAACUUUUUGCUUUCUCCCUUUUUUGCUGUCUUACAAACUAGGGAAAAGGGGAGGUUGGGGAGAAACUGGGAAGGACAACAGGAGAAGUGGUGGUCUCAUACCAUAUUUCCCCCCUUUGAGCAUUUUCACUUUUUAGUGGGAGUUCUCACUCUCAUCUUUACUUUUUGAGUCUAUUUGUGAGAUAGAGCGAUAGUGAUUUAUAUAACACACGUGUGCUGAAGUUUUCUGAUGAACCAAAGUAGCUACAAAACCUUUGAUCAUUUGAAAAAGCAAGGGUAAUACACAGGGGAGCAGCAAGCAAGUUCCUAUCACUAGCAAUACACCUACAAUGAGGGUUUUAAAUCCUCUUAUAGCUGGAAACCAUUUUUCAAAUAAAGACUCAGGAUUAAACUCGUGCCAAACCUGUACAGGCACAAUUUUUACAAACCCCUGACUCAUGACAAACAUUUAUUUCUACUCUUUAGCUCCUUUCUCAGUUAAGAGAACCACAUCCUAUUUCUAGCUUUUUACUAUUAAUGGCUGCACAAGCAUCAAAUCUUAAAGUUAUUUGCUUGGGGAUUUCUUUUUCUUCUGUUCUAGUUAUUAUUUUACUUGUAUCACCUAGGAAAAGGCCAGUUCUUAUUCUUAUUUCAAAAACGGUGGUGCAGGGGGCUCAGAUGGGUUAUAACACACAUCAGGUCGGUCAUUUCUCGGGCUACAUACCUUGUACUGAGUGGCAUUAUACAAACAAGUUUCUCUUAUUGUUUCCAUACAUUCAUAAUAACUAUAGAACAGAAAGAUUGUUUUAAUUUGCUGUCCUGCUUCGGUGACCUGAUGAAUACACUGGGAACAGUCCCCAGUUUGAGUAAGGUCAGUUGAAGCCCUUACUGUAUAAGUCCAAAAUUUAAGAAAAAUGAAUCUCAUGAUGAGCUUCCUCAGGCUUCGGCCGUGCUUGGACUAGUCAGCUUCCGGGUGACUGGAGCAGGGCUUGUCAUCUUCUUCAGGGUCACUCUGCAAGGGUUAUCUGGGCUUGGUCUUGCCUCCCAGGUUUCAGGCGCUGCAGGUUUUAUAUGGCUGUGUUGGAUCCAGGCUGGGAUUCCUUCCACCUUCACAGCGGUGGGAGUGCUCAGGACGACAAUCUGGGGUCCUUUCCACCGUGGACACAAACAGGCAACUUUCCAGUCCUUGAUCCACACUCGAUCAUCUGGGGAGAAUGGGUGAACUGGGGAGAAUAAGCUAACAGGGCAUCUCUCAUUUACCCAGGCUGAGAUUUUUUGUGUAACUUUUCCUAAGGCCUGUAGCUGUCGCUGUAACUCAAUUUCACCUAACUCUCAGGGAGUGCCUGGAAGUCCCCGCAAUAUAGGAGGGGGCCUACGAUAUAAUAUUUCAUAAGGGAAAUAUCCUGUUCUUUUAGAAGCGGUACAUCUAAUUUUAAAUAAUACCAUAGGGAGAGCCUGUAGCCAUUUUAAUCCUGUUUCCUGACAUACUUUCCCUAAACUAUUUUUGAUAGUUUGAUGCAUUCGCUCCACCUUUCCGGAACUCUGAGGCCACUAGGCAGCAUGCAGUUUCCAUGUGAUCCCUAAUAUCUUUGCCGCCUUCUGUACUAAGUCAGCCACAAAUGCUGGCCUGUUAUCUGAGCCGAUCCCUAAGGACAGUUCAAAUCUAGGAAUAAGAUCUCGAAGAAGCACACGGGUUACUUCACGAACUUUCUCAGUUCGUGUUGGAUAAGCCUCCACCUACCCAGAGUAGGUACGCCCAAGAACUAGUAAAUACUUGUUACCUCUACACUUUGACAUCUCUGUGAAGUCCACCUGGAGAUCUUCAAAGGGGGCUGCUCCAUAAGCUUGUAUGCCGGGUGGAAUAGCUGGACCUUGCCUCGCUUUAUGCUGUCGGCAGGUAACACACCACUGCGUCACCGUUUUGGCAAGAGCUGACAAAUGCGAGAUGUAGAAAUACCAGCCUAACAACUUUUCAAGUGAUUCCUGGCCUAGAUGGGUGGCUUCUUGCACAGCCAGUACAACUGCAGCUCCUAGCAGCUGUGGCACAGCUACUCUCCCAUCCGGUAACCGAAUUCAUCCUUCCUCCAUCACUUGUCCUCUCUCUGCCUGGAGAAAGUCCUUUUCUUCUUUAGAAUAAGGUUUCUCAACCAGGGGGUGAUUUUGCCCCCCAGAGAACAUGUGGCCAUGUCUGGAGACAAUUUUGGUUGUUGCAGCUGGAGGAGGUGGUGCUACUGGCAGCUAAUGGGUAGAGGCCAGUGAUGCUGCUAAACAUCCUACAAUUC